AGCGAACGCUGGCGGCAGGCCUAACACAUGCAAGUCGAGCGGAUGAAGAGAGCUUGCUCUCUGAUUUAGCGGCGGACGGGUGAGUAAUGCCUAGGAAUCUGCCUGGUAGUGGGGGAUAACGUCCGGAAACGGGCGCUAAUACCGCAUACGUCCUACGGGAGAAAGCAGGGGACCUUCGGGCCUUGCGCUAUCAGAUGAGCCUAGGUCGGAUUAGCUAGUUGGUGAGGUAAUGGCUCACCAAGGCUACGAUCCGUAACUGGUCUGAGAGGAUGAUCAGUCACACUGGAACUGAGACACGGUCCAGACUCCUACGGGAGGCAGCAGUGGGGAAUAUUGGACAAUGGGCGAAAGCCUGAUCCAGCCAUGCCGCGUGUGUGAAGAAGGUCUUCGGAUUGUAAAGCACUUUAAGUUGGGAGGAAGGGCUCAUAGCGAAUACCUGUGAGUUUUGACGUUACCAACAGAAUAAGCACCGGCUAACUUCGUGCCAGCAGCCGCGGUAAUAC
rnacentral:rRNA from 1 species